GGUAUGCUUCUUUAAUUUGAAUACAAUGUGGUGGAGCGAUAAUGAAGGGCUACAUAAUGCAAUUACUUAUUCUAGCAUAUAAUUAGAUGAGUUAUGAGAUACAAUUCAAAGAAUACCUAUCAAAUAGCAACCGUUAUAUAACUAACGGCUGUUAUUUACAGGUUUUGUAGAGAGCUGUUACGCGUGAGACCGUUAUUUACAGGCAAAUAGGUA
rnacentral:misc_RNA from 1 species